AACGAACGCUGGCGGCAUGCCUAACACAUGCAAGUCGAACGAGACCUUCGGGUCUAGUGGCGCACGGGUGCGUAACGCGUGGGAACCUGCCCUUAGGUUCGGAAUAACUCCCCGAAAGGGGUGCUAAUACCGGAUAAUGUCUUCGGACCAAAGAUUUAUCGCCUUUGGAUGGGCCCGCGUUGGAUUAGCUAGUUGGUAGGGUAAAAGCCUACCAAGGCGACGAUCCAUAGCUGGUCUGAGAGGAUGAUCAGCCACACUGGGACUGAGACACGGCCCAGACUCCUACGGGAGGCAGCAGUGGGGAAUAUUGGACAAUGGGCGAAAGCCUGAUCCAGCAAUGCCGUGUGAGUGAUGAAGGCCUUAGGGUUGUAAAGCUCUUUUACCCGGGAUGAUAAUGACAGUACCGGGAGAAUAAGCUCCGGCUAACUCCGU
rnacentral:rRNA from 1 species